rnacentral:tRNA from 1 species
UGGGGAGUCGUCUAACCGGUAGGACCCGGGACUCUGGAUCCCGUUAUCAUGGUUCGAAUCCAUGCUCCCCAG